CACCUGUGUUUGUGAUAUCACAGACACGCUGAGAUCCACAAAUGUGUCAUUAGCCCACCAGGUUGGCACAGAACGGCUGCAUCUGAAGGCAUUUCCCCAUCACCAGGGCUGGGAAGAUUACAGGAAAGCAGGCAGGAGAAAGAGAAAGAUGGAGGGGAAAAAGGAGGACCCAGGUUCCCCGGGGCAGCAGUCCUGCCUUCGGCCACAUGGACAGAUUUUCAUCGCCAUCGAGACGCAGGGCAGAUUGCUCGGCUAAUGAGUACAUGUCACUGCGCUGCUGCUGCUGCUGACUUGAGUAGUGAGUGAUGUCAUGCUGGCUGCCCAGCCCUGCUAUAAUGCAACUGUCAGGGCCCCGUGGGGAAAACUUGGGGAGAAAUACGAGAAGUCUAAAAAGCAGCAAAAGGCCCAGUCAAGUGAAGGGAAAUGGAAUUACAGUCAUGCUGAAAGCAGGCACACUGGAGAAUUAAAACACUUUGUUUUGGAACCAGA
rnacentral:lncRNA from 1 species